GACGAACGCUGGCGGCGUGCUUAACACAUGCAAGUCGAACGGAAAGGCCCUGCUUUUGUGGGGUGCUCGAGUGGCGAACGGGUGAGUAACACGUGAGUAACCUGCCCUUGACUUUGUGGUAACUUCAGGAAACUGGGGCUAAUACCGGAUAGGAGCUCCUGCUGCAUGGUGGGGGUUGGAAAGUUUCGGCGGUUGGGGAUGGACUAGCGGCUUAUCAGCUUGUUGGUGGGGUAGUGGCUUACCAAGGCUUUGACGGGUAGCCGGCCUGAGAGGGUGAACGGCCACAUUGGGACUGAGAUACGGCCCAGACUCCUACGGGAGGCAGCAGUGGGGAAUAUUGCACAAUGGGCGGAAGCCUGAUGCAGCAACGCCGCGUGCGGGAUGACGGCCUUCGGGUUGUAAACCGCUUUCGCCUGUGACGAAGCGUGAGUGACGGUAAUGGGUAAAGAAGCACCGGCUAACUACGUG
rnacentral:rRNA from 1 species